rnacentral:rRNA from 1 species
CCUACGGGUGGCAGCAGUGGGGAAUAUUGCUCAAUGGGGGAAACCCUGAUGCAGCGACGCCGCGUGAGUGAAGAAGUAUUUCGGUACGUUAAGCCUUAUCAGCAGGGAAGAAAAUGACGGUACCUGACUAAGAAGCCCCGGCCAACUACGUGCCAGCAGCCGCGGUAAUACGUAGGGGGCAAGCGUUAUCCGGAUUUACUGGGUGUAAAGGGAGCGUAGACGGCAGCGCAAGUCUGAAGUGAAAUCCCAGGGCUUAACCAUGGAACUGCUUUGGAAACUGGGCAGCUGGAGUGCAGGAGAGGUAAGCGGAAUGCCUGGUGUAGCGGUGAAAUGCGUAGAUAUUAGGAGGAACACCAGUGGCGAAGGCGGCGUACUGGACUGUAACUGACGUUGAGGCUCGAAAGCGUGGGGAGCGAACAGGAUUAGAUACCCGGGUAGUC